rnacentral:rRNA from 1 species
UACGUAGGGUGCAAGCGUUAAUCGGAAUUACUGGGCGUAAAGCGUGCGCAGGCGGUGAUGUAAGACAGUUGUGAAAUCCCCGGGCUCAACCUGGGAACUGCAUCUGUGACUGCAUUGCUGGAGUGCGGCAGAGGGGGAUGGAAUUCCGCGUGUAGCAGUGAAAUGCGUAGAUAUGCGGAGGAACACCGAUGGCGAAGGCAAUCCCCUGGGCCUGCACUGACGCUCAUGCACGAAGCGUGG